rnacentral:tRNA from 1 species
GGGUCUAGCUCAGUUGGCAGAGCACAUGCUUAGCAUGCAUGAGGUCCUGGGUUCAAUUCCCAGUACGUCCG